GAAGACAUGGUUAACUGUUUCAACAUUGACUCAUGAUCAUCUGUUGAGGAUACUAUGGAAAUGUGAAUGCUUUUCUCCAGGAUCAUCAACUCCAGAUGUUUCCUGACCCCAAAGCAGCUUCAGUGUUGGACUAGAGAUCCAGGAGACUGAAUCCGCACACUAACUUGUGUGUAAUUGAGUUACUUGGACAUCUUGACCUGAAGAAUCUUGCUGACCUGGACUCUAAUGAGAGAGACCAUCCCUUGCUCUACAAACUGGACAAAUGCUUAUUUCACCAGACCACUUGAUUCUUGAGAUUUAUCAUGAGUGAUUCAAAUGGAUCAGGAGAUGGGGAAAGAAGAAGGAAAUGGGAAAGAGAGAAAAAUUCUGUUCAUUGAAAAUUUAAAACAUUACAGAGGACUUCCAGCAAACAAACAAAUAAAUAAAAAUCUUUAAAGAACUAUAUCA
rnacentral:lncRNA from 1 species